GUUUUCUUUGGUCUUCCCUCCUUCCCCCCUCGGCCAAAAUGCAGGGGGCAGGAGUGUUGACAAUUAAUUGGUGAACUCUCCUAAAAAAAUGGAGGCAGAGAAAGACUCUGGAAGAAGAUUGCGCCCGAUUGACCGCCAGCGAUACGACGAGAACGAGGACUUGUCGGACGUGGAGGAGAUCGUCAGCGUCCGCGGCUUCAGCCUGGAGGAGAAGCUUCGCAGCCAGCUGUACCAGGGGGACUUCGUGCACGCCAUGGAGGGCAAAGAUUUCAACUAUGAGUACGUACAGAGAGAAGCUCUCAGGGUUCCCCUGAUAUUUCGAGAAAAGGAUGGACUGGGAAUUAAGAUGCCUGACCCUGAUUUCACAGUCCGAGACGUCAAACUCCUAGUGGGUAAGUCGCUUGCCGUGUGUGUGGCUCAGACAUGCUGAAGUAGGGAAGGGGGAAGAGGUGGUCACCACCUGCCCAUUUAGACUUUUAACUGCCUCUGAAAACAAAGUCCCCACGGGAGGAGGCAGGAGCAGGUGUGAGCUGCAACCGUUUCAUUCUGGAGAACAGGUAGGGUUGCAAAGUCUUA
rnacentral:sRNA from 1 species